UACGAAGGGGGCUAGCGUUGCUCGGAAUUACUGGGCGUAAAGCGCACGUAGGCGGUCUUUUAAGUCGGGGGUGAAAUCCUGGAGCUCAACUCCAGAACUGCCUUCGAUACUGGAAGACUUGAGUCCGGGAGAGGUGAGUGGAACUGCGAGUGUAGAGGUGAAAUUCGUAGAUAUUCGCAAGAACACCAGUGGCGAAGGCGGCUCACUGGCUCAUAUCUGACGCUCAGGCGCGACAGCGUGGGGAUCAAACAGG
rnacentral:rRNA from 1 species